GAACUCACUCUAAGGAGAGAAGAGACCAGACAUAAAGACUUGAUCAUUGGAAGAUGGUGAGGAUUCUGAAUAGAAUAGAGUGGGUUUUGCUCUAAUUUUGUAUCAGUCGGGGGAUCUCAAAGAUGAAACCAAGGAUCCCCUGAAGUCAGGACAACUUGAGGAAAGUUUGGGAAUGUUUUACAAAGGGCUUCUGAUAUUCUGGAGAAACCAGUGUUAUCUGAGUGUUAAAGCUCAGUUAUUAAUCCUUUCUCAGAGUUCCGGGAUAAUGUUAUUGGCUUUCAAGCAUGUGAUGCAUCCCAAGAGAGCUGUUGACUUCCAGUCUGACCAAAUUCUUUCACGUUGUGGCGUGUACGAUGUAUAAACGUUUUGGAAUGCCUCUGAGACGACUUCUGCCGCCAGAAUCUCAUCCACUCUUCUGCGUCCAUUCACAUCGCCUGGGAAGGCUUCCCUGAUCACCUCAUAGGUAAACAGCUCCCCUUCACUGGGUUUAUAUUUUGCAAUUCAUCACUGUGUUCUAAGUGUUUGUGAAUACAUCUUAGGAGCAGGUCAGCUCCCUGCAGGUAGAGUUAGUGCCAUAUUCAUUCAGCA
rnacentral:lncRNA from 10 species